GAUGAAGAACGUAGCGAAAUGCGAUAAGUAAUGUGAAUUGCAGAAUUCCGUGAAUCAUCGAAUCUUUGAACGCACAUUGCGCCCUCUGGUAUUCCGGGGGGCAUGCCUGUCCGAGCGUCAUUUGCAACCCUCAAGCCCGGCUUGUGUGAUGGGUGCCGUUCCCUACGGGACGCGCCCCGAAGGCAAUGGCGGCGUCGCGGUUAUCCGAUCAGCCAAAGUGUAUGGGGCUUUGUCACUCACUUUACGGCCCGGACCGGCGCCAGUCCGAAUCAAUCUUUUUUCUAAAGUUGACCUCGGAUCAGGUAGGGAUACCCGCUGAACUUAAGCAUAUCAAUAGCGGAGGA
rnacentral:misc_RNA from 1 species